rnacentral:misc_RNA from 1 species
UUUCCGUAGGCGAACCUGCGGAAGGAUCAUUACUGAGUGAGGGCCCCUCGGGGUCCAACCUCCCACCCGUGUUUAACGAACCUUGUUGCUUCGGCGGGCCCGCCUCACGGCCGCCGGGGGGCAUUUGCCCCCGGGCCCGCGCCCGCCGAAGCCACCUGUGAACGCUGUCUGAAGUAUGCAGUCUGAGACAAUUAUUAAAUUAAUUAAAACUUUCAACAACGGAUCUCUUGGUUCCG